GACGAACGCUGGCGGCGUGCUUAACACAUGCAAGUCGAGCGAGAGACUUCGGUCUCUAGCGGCGGACGGGUGAGUAACACGUGGGUAACCUGCCUCAAAGAGGGGGAUAGCCUUCCGAAAGGAAGAUUAACACCGCAUAAUAUCAUAGCUUCGCAUGAAGGAAUGAUUAAAGAAGUAAUCCGCUUUGAGAUGGACCCGCGGCGCAUUAGCUAGUUGGAGAGGUAACGGCUCACCAAGGCGACGAUGCGUAGCCGACCUGAGAGGGUGAUCGGCCACAUUGGAACUGAGACACGGUCCAGACUCCUACGGGAGGCAGCAGUGGGGAAUAUUGCACAAUGGGCGAAAGCCUGAUGCAGCAACGCCGCGUGAGUGAAGAAGGUCUUCGGAUUGUAAAGCUCUGUCUUUUGGGACGAUAAUGACGGUACCAAAGGAGGAAGCCACGGCUAACUACGUGCCAGCAGCCGCCGUAACAC
rnacentral:rRNA from 1 species